UUGAUACAUUUCCAGGGGAGUAUCCCUCUCUCUCUCUCCUUGUCACAACAUGUCAAUGACUUGUACAAUAAUCGUCUGUAGAUGAAGUCCUAUACUCUACCCUGAGAGUAGAAGAUUUAUCUGUGUGGCUCCUAUUGGAUAUCUUUCUCAUUCAGAGUGAAAUUAAGGAACUCAUAGCAAACUAACUGCAUGCUUGUCAAUUUCUGGCUGUCUGCCAAAUAUUCAUCAGAUAUUCUUGACGCUUGGUCCCUUCUUUAAAAGUCCAGAUGUUUCAGACCAUAAGUCCUGCUCCUAGAAGGUCUGACCCAAGCACAGCUUCUCCAGGAAGUUCCCCAGUACUGGCUCAGGGCUUACUCUCUCUGCUUUACACCAGAUUAUUUAUUUUGCAUAUUUAUAACAAGAAAGAAGUCCUAAUAUCAUUUUUUUUCUCUCUCAUCUCUCCAUGCACUCUGUUUUUCCUGUAAAUAACUCGAUAAUCCUAGAAAACAUGUCUGUGUCUAAAACAAUAAGCAUUAACAAAAUACCACAAGGGCAGCUUCUGUUUCCAUAACACUAGUGACAUCACAAAGAAUACCAUGGAAUUCCAGGCAUGCAAUAGUGUACCAGAGGAGUGUCCCCUUCAACAGUACAUAACUAUCCAUUAACCAGAUAUUCUCCAAAUCAACAAGCCAAGUUGGCCUUUCCAGUACCUUUGCUGAGACACAAGGGAAGACUUUCCAUCACUCUACCUUCUAAAAAUGGAGAUAUGACUGAUUAAUUGAAUUUUUUCCUACCUUCAUGUACAGAUACUGAAGCCUAAACUUGCAAACAAAGCUCAGAAAUUGUUCAUCCCGACCUUACUAUGCACACUGAAAAUGACAAUGAAGAAAGGAAGUUGAGAACUUAGGUUUCCAGUCUUUUCAAUUCUCCUCCAAAUGUUUUGGAGAAGACAUCUAUUGUCAAGGCGAGGUACAACAGGCCCCAUCAGACAAAGAGGGCUGCAAAAUUUCUACUUUUAAAGGAUUCACUAGAAGCAGGGAAGUCCAGAUGCUUCUGACAGGCUCUGAGCUCCUGAUUCCAGGUGUGGAAGGUUCAGAUCAAUUCUAUCUCUUCAACUUACCUACUCGACACCUACCAAGGACUCAAUGACAUUCCCCAGGGUCGCCAUAUUUCUUCCUUUUUUUUAUACCAAGACAGAAGGCCAUCUUCAUUCUCAACAUCUUUGAGCUUUACAUUCUCUUUGUUCUCAAUCCCAAAUUGAUGUUUCCUCUGAACUAGAGGCCAAUUAGUAAACCCUAUAUUAUACUGAAUGAAUAUACAAGAGGCAUUUGCAGACACGACAACACUUGUGACAACACAGGAGAAAAUAGGGCUCUCCAGGAUACAAGAGAUUUUUCAUGGAAGGCCUAAUGAUGAUAUCACUGAGAACCGCCAUGGCCUACCUACAAACAGCUUUCUUUACACUGACCAGAUGUGAGAGUGCCUUUUCCAGGUAUGUCUCCUGUGACACAGGAAAAACCUUUAUGUACUCUAUCUCUUGAAAGCUAGAGACUUCUCUUCGCUUCAACAGUGUUUACAUGCUCUGAAUGGAGAAAGUUAUUCAGGGUCCUGGCAUGGGUAGAAAUGAUCUAGGAACGUGGAGAAGAGAAGAUUCUUCUGGAUAAUAUUUUUAUUCCCAGGUCCAAACCUGUGACAUACCGUUCAAUUUUCUAGGUUUUCUCUCUCUUGUAAUGGCCAGUAUUUUCCUUUCAGACCUUUAGAUGAAGGAAUAUUGUAUUUCUGUUUUAUUGUACAUUCUUUGAUAGGUGACUUUAUAAAUAUUCCUGAAUAUGUACUCAAAAAUUAUGUUUCGAAUUCUAUUUUCUGCUAUGUUUUUGGCAACAAAUGGGCCCCAGCUAUAGAGAGAGUAUAACAGUGUAAAUACUGUGUACCUACUUCAAAUGAUAAACUCCCAAAUCCUUAUUUUAUCCAAAGAUUACCAGACAUCAAUAAAGCAAAGGAUUACAUGAC